AGCCUUUGGAAAGGAUUAAAGGUUAUACCUGCCCAAUGUUAUAUUAAUGGCCGCGGUACUUUGACCGUGCUAAGGUAGCACAAUCAAUUGGCCCUUAAUUAGGGUCAGGUAUGAAUGGAGUUACGGGGCUUAGCUGUCUCUAGACUAUUUAAUUGAAGUUGCUAUAUAGGUGAAAAAGCCUGUAUUAAGAAAAAAGACGAGAAGACCCUUAGAGUUUUACUUAAAAAAGAGUUAUUUCUUCACUAGUUUUGUUGGGGCAACAUAGGAGAAGAACCAAACCUCCUAAAGGAUAUAAACCGAUGUUUUUAAAUAUGAAUAAACUACCUUAGGGAUAACAGCAUAAUUUUAAAAAUAAGUUUGUGACCUCGAUGUUGGACUAGGAAACUUAAGGGCUAGCCGCCUUUUGGUAAGGUUCUGUUCGAACUAUAAUUCCU
rnacentral:rRNA from 1 species